rnacentral:rRNA from 1 species
UACGUAGGGUGCGAGCGUUGUCCGGAUUUAUUGGGCGUAAAGAGCUCGUAGGCGGUUUGUCGCGUCUAUCGUGAAAACCGGGAGCUUAACUCCUGGCUUGCGGUGGAUACGGGCAGACUUGAGUUCGGCAGGGGAGACUGGAAUUCCUGGUGUAGCGGUGAAAUGCGUAGAUAUCAGGAGGAAUACCGACGGCGAAGGCAGCUUACUGGGCAUUAUCUGACGCUGAGGCGCGAAAGCGUGGGUAGCAAACAGG